rnacentral:rRNA from 1 species
UCUCCCCUAUCAACUUUCGAUGGUAGGAUAGUGGCCUACCAUGGUGGCAACGGGUAACGGGGAAUUAGGGUUCGAUUCCGGAGAGGGAGCCUGAGAAACGGCUACCACAUCCAAGGAAGGCAGCAGGCGCGCAAAUUACCCAAUCCCGAUACGGGGAGGUAGUGACAAUAAAUACUGAUACGGGGCUCUUUUGGGUCUCGUAAUUGGAAUGAGAACAAUUAAAUCCCUAACGAGAUA